AUGAACGCUGGCGGCGUGCCUAAUACAUGCAAGUCGAGCGAACGGACGAGAAGCUUGCUUCUCUGAUGUUAGCGGCGGACGGGUGAGUAACACGUGGAUAACCUACCUAUAAGACUGGGAUGACUUCGGGAAACCGUAGCUAAUACCGGAUAAUAUUUUGAACCGCAUGGUUCAAAAGUGAAAGACGGUCUUGCUGUCACUUAUAGAUGGAUCCGCGCUGCAUUAGCUAGUUGGUAAGGUAACGGCUUACCAAGGCAACGAUGCAUAGCCGACCUGAGAGGGUGAUCGGCCACACUGGAACUGAGACACGGUCCAGACUCCUACGGGAGGCAGCAGUAGGGAAUCUUCCGCAAUGGGCGAAAGCCUGACGGAGCAACGCCGCGUGAGUGAUGAAGGUCUUCGGAUCGUAAAACUCUGUUAUUAGGGAAGAACAUAUGUGUAAGUAACUGUGCACAUCUUGACGGUACCUAAUCAGAAAGCCACGGCUAACUACGUG
rnacentral:rRNA from 1 species